rnacentral:misc_RNA from 1 species
AAAAAAAAAAAAAAAAAAAGAAUUCUAACAAUCGGAUGUAUAUGCUUGAAAAAUCUCUCCCACAUUGAAUAGCUAUAAUUCGAAACUCGAUAUUCUUAUUCUUUCUUCAAUAAGAAAUUCUUUCGAUCCUUGGUACCAAAUAAAGGAUGAAAAAAGAAGAAUUAUUUUCACCAAUACCUGAAAUGCUUCUACAUCACGAAUUAUCAAAUUCAACAAAAAUGAAACGGAAAACUAAAGAAAAGAAAACAAGCAAAGAAAACUGAAAAAUUAAUGUUACCACUGGUGAAAGCACAAGUUAAUCCAACAGCGAAAGCAAGAGAGAUGGUAAAAAUCCCAAGAAGAAGAUAAUUCACCGGAUGCUUCUGGUGGUAGUAGUACAUGGGGCAUAAAACAAUAAAUGGCAUAAUAAUGAGGACUAUGUAGAGUGCGAGGCCGGUCCCAGUACUAACAAAGAAAUGCGCAAUCGGAUGGACAGAAACCACGACGGAGGCCACCGCGAUUGUCGCCAGCAACUGGAAGGAUAGGAUUGAAUAAACUUUCCUAAUGAAGGCCCACCGUAGCUGCGGGCUCUCGAGCAUCAUCGGAUACAGAGGACUGGCCCCGGCCUCCACGUCACUCUUUCUGUACGGCUGACCCCACAUCUUGCUUACUUCAGAAGAAAUUCCGAAAAGAAAUCUCAAAACUUUCGAUGUGCUCUGAAAAAGUAAUCGGAAAAUGAAGGAAUGGGAAGGAAAGUUAUUAUUAGGGUUUUGAUUAGGGCUGAGGAAUGAAGGCGAAGAAUGGAGGGAAGGGACGUUGAGCGGUUUCGGUAGUAAGAGUUGAAGAUGCGUCGCGAAAAUAUCGAGUGUGGAAAGUAGUAGCAAGCGAAAUGUGGAACGUUCGUUAGUAGAGUCUAGAUUUCUCGGGGAGUUGCUAAGGCGUGUCGCGCCAAAUCACUAGGGAAUGAAAACG